rnacentral:sRNA from 1 species
AAUGGAAGAAUGCUUUCCCUAGGAUUAGAGAACUGGAUAGGGAAGAAUUAUUUGAAAAAUGUAAAGGAGAAAUUUUGGAUGAAAUCAUAAACUUGAGUCAGGUGACUCCUAAAGAAUGGGAAGGUGCUUUUUACAAAAAAUUGUGGGAGAAAACUGGAUCUUAUAUCAUUGAGAAUGUCUAUCUGCCUGCAGCACAAUCCAAAGAUACAGGGUAAACAUGUUGAUUUGAAAUG